AUACAGAUUGCUUGUCGCCAUCCGGAGCCUCCUCGCCGGGUCUUUCCGUGUGUCCUUGAGAAACGGCGCCCGCUGGAACGCGUCUCGGCAAGCCGUCUUAUAAAAGGCUCAGUGCUGGGCAGCCUCUGCAUCAUCUCUUCGGAAACAGUGCAGUCGACAACACACACGAAAUCAUCAUCAUCAUGAUGUCCUGCAAGACCCUCCUGGUGGCCUUCCUUGUUCUGGCAGCCCUGUGCAGCCUGGCCGUCGCACAAUAUGGCGGAUACGGCGGAGGAGGCCGUGGAUUUGGCGGUGGCCGCGGGUUCGGCGGAGGAGGACGCGGAUUCGGAGGAGGAGGCCGUGGAUUCGGAGGAGGAGGCCGUGGAUUCGGAGGAGGACGUGGCUUCGGAGGCGGACGGGGCUUCGGCGGUGGAUACGGACGCUAGUGGAUCAUGGCUGAUGUAAACAUCAUGUGAAUAUGUAAAUUGGACAUUUUGACAGCGGCAGUACGAGUGCUUCAAAUGAUUUUUGUGUUGACUACUCCAGCAAUAAACGAUCAUUUCCAAAGUAAA